rnacentral:rRNA from 1 species
GACGAACGCUGGCGGCGUGCUUAACACAUGCAAGUCGAACGGAAAGACCCUGCUUUUGUGGGGUGCUCGAUUGGCGAACAGGUGAGUAACACGUGAGUAACCUGCACUUGUAUUUGGGAUAACUUCAGGAAACUGGGGCUAAUACCGGAUAGAAGCUCCUGCUGCAUGGUGGGGGUUGGAAAGUUUCGGCGGUUGUGGAUAGACUCGCAGCUUAUCAGCUUGAUGGUCGGGUAGUCGCUUACGAAGUCUUCGAAGGGUAGCCGGCAUUGGAGGUUGACCGGCCACCUGACUCCUACGAUACGGCCCAGUCUCCUACCGUCGGCAGCAGGCGGGAAUAUUGCACAGUGGGCGGAAGUCUGAUACAGAAACGCUGCGUGCGUGAUGACGUCCUUCGGGUUGUGAACCGCUGUCGCCUGUGACGAAGCGGGAGUGACGGUAAUGGGUAAAGAAGCACCGGCUAACUACGUG